rnacentral:lncRNA from 1 species
GACAGCGAUGGCAACUUUGGGGGAUAGCUUCUCCCAGUAAGGAAGGCAAAUUCUACAAAAAGAAUGAAGCACAGCAGAAAAAGUGAAGCGCUGGUUCUUACAAGGAAAAGAAGGAAAGCUUUUGCUGCUGGGAAGAUAAGAUCUUCUUCAGAUGGCCACAGAUGUGAAGAAUUAACCCAGUCGGAGCCAGCUUCAUGGACAUGCCAUCUGCACAGUUCCACGGAGAAGGGACCUGUACUUUGGAGAAACCUUCAAACAUGGACACAGAGACACGUGCAAGGAAGUACAUCACAUUCUUUGGGGGAAGUGGAACAACAGGAAGCAACCUACAUGUCCAUCAGCAAGGGGACUGCUAAGUAAGUGUGCAAGAGUGAAACGGGAUGUGGUGGUGAAGAAGAAGAAAAUAGACCUCUAUGUACCUACUGUAUUAGUCUGUUUUCACACUGC